rnacentral:rRNA from 1 species
UGGAGGGGGCACCUGAUCGCCAUGCCGCGUGUGUGAAGAAGGCCUUCGGGUUGUAAAGCACUUUCAGCGAGGAAGAACGCCUGGUGGUUAAUACCCAUCAGGAAAGACAUCACUCGCAGAAGAAGCACCGGCUAACUCCGUGCCAGCAGCCGCGGUAAUACGAA